CCUACGGGGGGCAGCAGUCGAGAAUCAUUCACAAUGGGGGAAACCCUGAUGGUGCGACGCCGCGUGGGGGAAUGAAGGUCUUCGGAUUGUAAACCCCUGUCAUGUGGGAGCAAAUUAAAAAGAUAGUACCACAAGAGGAAGAGACGGCUAACUCGGUGCCAGCAGCCGCGGUAAUACAGAGGUCUCAAGCGUUGUUCGGAAUCACUGGGCGUAAAGCGUGCGUAGGCUGUUUCGUAAGUCGUGUGUGAAGGGCGCGGGCGCAACCCGCGGACGGCACAUGAUACUGCGAGACUAGAGUAAUGGAGGGGGAACCGGAAUUCUCGGUGUAGCAGUGAAAUGCGUAGAUAUCGAGAGGAACACUCGUGGCGAAGGCGGGUUCCUGGACAUUAACUGACGCUGAGGCACGAAGGCCAGGGGAGCGAAAGGGAUUAGAUACCCUUGUAGUC
rnacentral:rRNA from 1 species